UGAAAUCUGUUUUGUUUUGUUUUUUUAAAUCCUAGGGUUGAAAAGAAAGCGCCCAGAUGAUUUAGGAUGGUCCGUAUGGUGAUUGAAGUCAAAGUGGAAGAAAUUGCAAAUUGUUGAGGAGACUUUAUGUGGCUGUGCUGAAUCUGUGAUUCCUGAUGGAUCAGCCACACAUGGCCUGGAGUUGUCCAGCUACCAGUCCAGACCCCUGCAUAAAUUAGACACACUCCUGCAUUGACUUUGUAUAGAAUGAAGACAAGAUCCUGCAACCUAACAGGAGCAAAAUCGAGGGAACUAUGUGUGUAUAAGGACUACUCAGAAGCUGGGAAUGGGCGACGGGAUGGAUCACGUGAUGUUUACCUGUUCCGUUCAUUCCCUCUGAAGCACCUGGCAUUGGCCACGGUCAGAAGACAGGAUAUGGGGUUAGAUGGAUCCUUGUUAUGACCCAGUAUGGCGGUUAUGUUUUUAUGUUCUUAAAGCAACAAAUCAAGCCAGGAUGCUGUUUGCUGGGGUCAUAGACUCAAGUAUGAAUAUAAUAUGAGAGUGUGUAUGUGCGCUGCAUCACCAUGGACUUCACAGCCUUGUUGUCUCCAGUCCUGGGAAUGGGCAGGGA